CGCACAUUCGACACGACCGUUGAGCUCGAGUCGCUGGUGGAAACUGAUGGCCGAGUAGGCACCGAGCCCUGCGCCCGCAGCCCGCGCUCCGCCGCUCAUUCAGUGCCGUAGCACUUACCACACACCGCCACACCAAGUCAAGGGUCUGUCGUCCGCGUUGUAAAGAAAUCCGGCGCAGGCGCAGAGCGACGUCGAGUUAGCGCAGACGAUGACAAACGCGGCGACCUCGACUUUGAAGUUGUAGUUUAAUUCGGUAACUUCCGCGACCGCCUCUCCGCCCGACUUGCGACGACAGUACGACGCUUUUGAUUAGCGAAUGCCUCUACAGACCACGUUACAUGACAGACGGUCAUUUAUGUAUAUCUACCCCCAUUUUAAUUGAGUAGUAUUUGAAUACGAUAAUCUUUUCUCUUUUCUAAGGACGGUUAUCUAACUUUCGUUAGAUAAGCCAUAACCUAUUUCUCGAUAAAUGACUAUACAAUAUAAAA